GGUUCAGGCUGCUGUAUCUUGUAGAAGUCAUUUUCUAUAAGGUACUUUCAAUGCAGGAACCUGAACUCACAGGUACUUUAGAGCAAAGAAAACAGAACAGCAAGAUGAGUCAAACCGAGCAGAAUUGGGAACCAGAAGACGGCAAGGAAAUAAAAGACAAGCCAUCGAAAGUCCAAGCUCAAACCAAAAUGGAGACGAAUAAUGGACAACGUCAAGCGGCAUUUCAAGCAUUUGAAGAGAUUGAACAACUUUGGGAGGUGGCACAAAGUGAGAUAAAUGAAAAUGCAUACCUUAAAGAAAA